rnacentral:lncRNA from 1 species
CCAUUGCUGUCAAAUCGUUCGAAGAUGAAGACGUUGGCGGAGUGGUCCCUGAAGGAGAAGAUCAGGGGAUGGAGACGUAGAUGUCGUCCAUCUCCGAGAAGAUCGUCCUCUAAUUUUUUCUCCUUCGAUUGUCACCGGUAGUCAACCUCCCCUCCUCUUCUUCUUCUCCCAUGACAGCCGUGGCAGCCACUACAUCUCUUCUUCUUAUUUUCUUUGAUGUGUCUCCCUUGUCUAUCCCUAACUUCAAAAUAUCUAUUACCACUGUUAACCAAAGCACGGCCACACUAGCCCACCAUUCGUAGCCUCGAUGGUGGGCGAUAGAUGGGUCCAUCAUCAACGAUGAAUUGUUGAGGGCCUUCAGUAGGGUUGCUAAUCCAGGCUCAUCUCCAACAAGGAUAGUCUCUCGAUGCUGCACCAACAGAUCAUCAUCGUCACUGCAGGACGGCAGGGGGGUGAGUAGUGCUGGAGAUGGGCUGAUGGUUGGUGUUGUUCGGGGCUCGAUCAAAAAUUAGAAAUUAGGAC